rnacentral:lncRNA from 1 species
GGCCGGGCAUGGUGGCUCAUGCCUGUAAUCCCAGCACUUUAGGAGGCUGAGGAGGGCAGAUCACUUGAGGUCAGGAGUUCAAGACCAGCCUGGCUAAAAUGGUGAAACCCCAUCUCUAAAAAUACAAAAAUUAGCCAGGCAAGGUGGCACUGUAAUCCCAGCUACUUGGGAGGCUGAGGAACGAGAAUUGCUUGAACCUAGGAUGCACCACUGCACUCUAGCCUGGGCGACAGAGCGAGACUUGGUCUCACACACACACACUAUAUGUCAUGGCAUGAUCUUUUUUGGCUAAAGACUUCUCCCAAAUUAUGAUUGAUGUACCAGUGUUUCUCAAAUGGGAAUGACAAAUUCUGGGAUGUUUUUGUUGUGACAACUGCGGGGGUGUGGUGGGGGAAAGUGUUACAGCAUCUAGUGGGUAGAGACCAAGGAUGCUGCUAAACAUCCUACAGUGCUCAGGGGACCGCCCUCCCCCCGCCAAACAAAGAGUUAUCUGGUCUAAAGUGCCAGUAGUG